GGAUGAAUGGACAGUGGAAGGGAGGGAGAAGGAAGACGUUCCAGUUCUUGGAUGCUCCGGUCAUUGGGUUAUGACCAGAAAAGCCUGGAAAAGCUUGGGAAUAUGGACAUGUGUGUUUCUUCUUCCUUAAAUAGGUGGAAGAUAUGUGGGAUCAUGAUGAAAUAUCUGACUGGCUAAUGAAUAUCAAGUGUCACCUUUUGUGCUAUUUUGGAUCCUUGAUAAUUUGUCUGGUGUGAUAAUUUGUCUCUCCACCCAGAAACGAGCUGCAAGCAGCUUCACAGAAUGCACAGGAGCACCAGCAACCCCGUGAAGGGCUGGCAAGUGUGGGAUAAAAAGCUCUUGGCAUUUGCAGAGCCACGAGACCUUUCCAUUUGUCCUGGCUUUGGAUGACCUCACCAGGGAGAAGGCAAGAAAAAGGGGUGGAGAAGUGAAAAAGAGCUGCAGAGGAAGGACUGCCAGUCCCCCAUGGAACACAAGGUUUUAGUCCCUUGUGUGUCACCAGGGGGUUCCUGCACAUGGAGAACCCAGCAGGUGCUGGAACUGAGGCAGGCAGAGCCUGGCUGAGGAAAGCCAUGGCUGGAUCCCACCAUGGGCCAUGUCCCCUUGAAUUAGAAAAACCUAUUGAACAAAUCACAUCAUUUCCUAUAUGAAUAUAUAAACCACCUCUAGGGUUGAGGGUUUCUAUACAGAGCAGCAAUAAAGUACAAGAAAAUG